GUUAGGCUUCAAUCUAUAUAACUCAUUUGGAAACUGCCACUCUGGAUCAGAAGCCUAUCAGGAAGAGCUUUUGUAUGGAAACAGAUGUCUUUCACCACUGUUAUUGGCCGCUUGUUAAUAGACCCUGUGUGUAUCAGUUCAGCAAAGGAAUGCAUCCUUUUUGUUCUCUGGUAACCACACCAUGACUGAGCAAGAAAUGGCAAUGCUGUGACUAGACAGGAGAUGCACAUGUGCUGACUGGCCAGUUAUCUUCUGCUAAAUGCAAGGUUUUGCAUUUUCUCGGACUUCAGCUGCAAAUAUCUGAAAUGUUUAAAAGAAGGCUGUUAUUCAACAUGUUCCUGCUCGUGGGCUUGAUGCAUGUUUUGCUGGCCGCUGACUGUGAAGGUGUGUAAGUGCUUUACUGGAUCAGCGCCAGCACCUUACAAGCCUGACCUCGGAGAGCUGGGAUCCCCUGCCCUGCCUCCUGAUGUGACGAUGACCUUGCUUACAUCAGAGUCGCGUGGUUGCAUGAAGGAGCGGUUCUUCAGAAACAGACAGCAUUCAGUGACACACCUAGCAACAGUCAUUCCUGCUGAAGCAGUGAAGUAAUGGACUUCUGGAGAAAAGGGGAAAAACAAGUAGGUGCUGUACACAGGAGGGAGGCCGCUGAUUACAGACCACUAAUUUGUUAUGCACUCUGGCAAAUCAGCAGUGAUUCAUAUGACAAAUAAGGAGAAAAAAUUAACAGCUGUCAUGUUGUGAUGUGUUAAUUUCCUGACAGUCUCUGCACUGAAGCCAAUUACUGAUUUAAGGGCAGGGAG
rnacentral:lncRNA from 1 species